CAUGGUGUGAAAAAGUUUGUAUGUGAACCUCACUGUUGUUAAGGAGUCGAGGUUCGGAAAUAUUCUGACUUUGCUGUGAAUUAAAAACAAAUGGCAGCUACUAAGUUAUAUAAUUAACAUGUCAAAGCAAAUGUCAAUAACAAGAUAUUUAAAGAAACCAUGGUUGGCGGAGGAUUAAGUGCACCAAACAAGUGAGGAUUUGGCUAGCUUAAAUGAAGCUAAAACAGCAGGGGAAGGAAUCACCGCCAUCACGCCCGCAUCAACUCAGGCCAACUCGGCUUUACCGCCAGCAUAUCAGUGUCAGGCGAUUUCACUUAGCAGCUGAACCACAAAAUAAAAUCGGGAAAUGUCACCUGUUCUUCCGUCAUGGAUGUACUUGACAGUUGCCCCUAAUACAUUGCCCCUAAGGGUCAUUGCCAAACUUCCAUCUUGUAGUGUGGAGAGACUGUUUUAUACAACAAACAGGAUUAAAACGCGUCUCCUGUCAUCAAUGACCAGCUGUCUUCUGAACUACUUUUUUAAAAACUGUUACUCGUGAGUUGGCAGAUUAAUUGGAUUAAGAUGAAAUCUUCAUAUUCAACUCCAAGCCACGCCACCUGCACCAGCGUCUCCCCCACAAGCCACCCACGGCAAAGGUCACAACGGAGUUCAGGUCAGAAAACCCGUCUCUGCUGCUUCAUCAAAUCCAACUUGACAUCAGUCGACUGUUUUCUAACCACAGAAUGACCCACUGUGCCUAAUGAGAGAAGACCAGGCUCCUGCCACAUGUUUCUGGCCUCAUUGAUUACCUGUUGCCCCCCCAGACGCAGCACCCAACAGGGAUAAGCAGGGGGGGAUAAGGUGAGUUCUUAAUUGUGGAUACAGUUAGAAAAUGUAAAAAAAAAAUACAGACACUGCAGAACAGGUCAAAGAAAAGUAACUGAUUAAAUCAAUUUUCGAAUUAACAGGCUUACAGUAGGCAGCUUAUGAACAGGCAGCAGGUCAAAAUGUAGGUAACAGAUAUCAGGCAGGAAAUCUGGAACAGGGAAACAAACAGAUACAGAUGGCUGAAACACAAGUGCACAACAUAACAUAACAAACUGGCAAGGGGAAAGGGCUGGUGAGCUGGUUAUAUACACUGAAUGACGGAUGAUAACGAUGAGGCAGGUGAAUGUGAACAGGUGAGACUGUGGAUGUGGGAGUCAAGUGCGAGGGUGAUCUGGUGGACAGGUCUAGAAAGUUCCUCAGAAAAGCAUGGGCCUGGAAAGUGAGGAGUGGCUGGAGGUAGGGACAGAGGGGCAUGCACUUGAUUUACUCUGCAACUGUAAACUGUAAUAACAUUAAGCAAAUGAUACACAAUAUGGGGUGAUAUACUUUGUCGUAUGGGAAUUGGGGCACCACAGUGUGAGUGCCAAAAAUCAGACCCCCGUUACCAGUUUCUCAAGAUAUAACAUCACCUGGAGUGCAUUAUUGCAUUAUGUGCUGGACUAUUUCUUGGCUGGGUGCACUCAAGAUCCUCAAUAUCCUGCGCUCUUUUCCCUCUCCCUAUUAUGAAACAAUAUUCAAAUGAAAACACUAACAAGCAAACAUGCAGGGCUUGCCCUCAUUGUCUCUCCUUCAUUUCAUGCAGGCAAUAGAAGUGAGCCGUGAGUCUCCUUCCUUUUGUCACUUCAACUGCUGGCUUCAAAAACAACAAUUAUACUAAGUGAUUUAUCGCCUUCUUCAGCCAGAGAUCAGAGCUCUGUACCAGGAAGACCCUCUUUUAUGGUCACAUCAGACGUGUUACAGCUGCUUUGCUGUCAUGCAGUGUAUUGCUGGUAGGAUUUCUGUUGGUGGUAGAAAUUAUCAUGUGUGUGUUUUUUUUUCAAACCUGAGUCUGUUCUUUGGGUUUUCCAAGUUUUGGACGCAGGAAUUCUCUGCCUUCCAUCCCUCUCUGGCUCCUCCCCUAUCCCCUGUCACUGAGCGCUGACAGCUGAGCAAUGGCCUUUCCCAGGCGUAGCGAUAAUUGAAAAGCGUGAUGGCUGGCUGCUGGUAUAGCGACCAUCUGUGAGUCUGAGUGGUUUGGUGAGUGUUGCGUUCGUAGACGGGGAGGUCGAGGGUUAUGUGAGAGCCAGACAGCCUCCCGUGGGGAGCUGUUAACACCUCAUAGAUGCCAAAAGGCCCCAAGAUGGCCCUUUGCAGAGCCAAGGCUCCUAAUGAGAAAAAGGGUGAUUAUCCCUCUGUGAGGCAAACAUAAACAUGUUGUUAUGAAUUCUGACAACAGAAAUAAGAAGGCAAAAUCCAGCAGAAAUAUGGUUAAAGCAUCAGUAUCUAAAAUUUUUCAUGUCUGCCAGUUCCUGUACAAACACAGGUCGUCGACAGCAACUUGCUAAAUCAUUGCUGUUAUAUUCUACCAGGGAAUUUGUUUGCUAUAAACCAACACAAUUGUAGAUGGAAGAUUUAUUACCCAUAAAAAAACAAUUAAUGCUGAAAUGAUUACUCAAUUAUUCAGUUGAUCCAUGGGAAAUUAAUUAAAUCCAGAUUCCAUAAUCAUUUGUUUUAGUCAGAUGAAAGACAGCUUUAAAACACAAAAGAGCUGGUUACUUACUUUGUUUUCUAGCAUUCAACUUUUUUGAAUGCUGAAUAAAUAAACAAUUUCAUCAUUAUAAAUAAUUUUGGCCUCUGAUAACUUGUAAAAAUGUCUUGUUAUUUUUGACAUUUCAUUCACUCCACACUGUCAUGAAGAUAGACUAGAUAACAAAAAAUAAUAAUUAGAAUUAUGUAAACUUUAUGUAAAUUUGGUAAAUAUCACUGGGUUCACAUACAGCUCACAUGAAACUGUAAAGAAGUUGUUAAUGAUGAUACUUGAACAAACAUGCUGUCUGAAAAUCAGUAUGUUUCUCAUGUACACACUCCUGGGUUAAUGCCUGUAUGAAGUGCUUUAAAGAUUGCAUAAAAAAUGACAAACAUUUAAAUGCCAGCAGUGAGAAGAAGCGCUGAGUGAUACAUUAGCCAAUACAUUUCUAAUAUAAAUGUUCCUGAAUGCAUUCCAGUCAACCAUUGCAGACAGAUUACCAGAUAUUGCAUUCCCGUCUAAGAAUGAAAUGAAGAGAUAAUUAUGCAGCCGGCGGGUAAUGGAGAGGUGGAGCUGUGAUAGAUUUGAUUAAAGUUGUCAGUAAAAACACACGCUAAUGACCAUGUUGAUUAGUUAGACUGCUUUAAUGCUGCUGCCGCCAUUAAUCUACGGCAUGUACAAAAGUAUGCUGUUGGUCAGUGCUGUGUUUGCAGUUUGUUUGCCUUGGUGUGUGCACCAUCAUGGAGACACUCAGUUUUGUAUUUUCUUUUUUAAAACUCUCCAGUCAUUUACUUUUAAGUUUAAAGCAGCUUCUUUUAUGCUUAGCUUUUUUGUGUUGUUAAUCGGAAAUAGGAAUAUUUAAACAAAACCCAUUCUUUGUCUAUAUCAAAUAUGUUUAAUGCAUGGAAAUUAAACUAUUUUCUGAUAAUUUCUUGAAAAAACAAAAACCCAAAUCAUAUUUUCUAUUGAUGUACAACUAAUUUUCCUUCUCUUAGUUUUCCACAUCGCAACACCUUUUCCUUUCCCAUCUCUGCCUCUGUACAACCACAAAGCCCUAACCACUGCAGGAUCUUAUUCAUUAACACUCUGCUUUAAUUGAUUGAUAUCUGUACCACAGAUAAUCCACUGUGCUCCUCCUCCUCUCUCCCCUACAUCCCUUCAUUCCUCCCCUCCUCCAGAGGUCCCAAAAUGAAAAAAGAGCAUGCUGCUGCUUCCAUGCAUGCAUGCAUACACUUGCACACACACACACACACACACACACAUGCACGCACCAAGCGGCCUCCCCUCCGUUGCUGCUCCAUUAGGUCUGAAUUGUAGCUGUGAUAUGUGGGACCCAAGGGAGGUGUUAUUGUCAGACCUGAUUUACUCAGCACCAUCUGACACGGGGCUGGGGGGGCUUGUAUAUGUGUGUGUGUGUGUGUGCGUGUGUAUGAGAGACAACAGGCGUACUGCCAGGCUUAGAGUCCUUUACAGAAAGGACAGUCAAAAGCAACAGUUUAACAGUAGCUGCAAAGCAAUAGGCAACCUUAACAGUCAUUGGGAUAUAAAUGUACAGUAUAUUUCAUGAUUUACACCUUGUAGUUCAUAUUUUAUAAUUGUUAUACUGCGAGCACUGGUGACUUUGUGAGGAAUAUGUUUUUUUUGUGUUGUAAUUUAGAAACUGAAAAAAAAGACUCAACUUAAAUGUCCCUGAAUACACUCAUGUUAUACCCAACAUACUUUAAAAUCUUAAAUCUCACAUUACUCUUUAUAUGCAAUAAUGUUUUUUUAAACAAUCUCAACUCAAAAUAUUCUGCUACAUCUUAUUUCAUCCUAAAAUAUAUUAUACAUUUAAGCAGAGGUCUUAUCUUUGCUAAGUUACGAGUUUAUAUGGUUAAAGAAUUAAUAUUGAGUUAUCCACAUCUUAAAGCAUUUGGAGAUUCAAUAUUUUAAAUAAAAAGGUCUGUAUCUGAAAUUGCAUGGUGGAUUUUUUUGCUAAUCCGAACACAAUCUUGUCUCACUGAGGACCAACCAAAAUCUUUUCAUCAGAGGCACGAGGAGUAAUAAUGGUGAAAGUGGGCUUAUUUCUCUUUAUGUACCAUAGUAUACGAGAGGAUAUGAGACUCAAAAUUAUGAGAUAUCUAAUAAGACUUUGGUGACACAUUGACUUGCAAUGUACAAUAACUACUCAACAAUAAAUUAUUUCAUUAUAAACCUCCAAAGAUUGGUUUACCAAAUGUGUGGCAUAUUUGUUGAGUUUGAGAGUAGAGAUGCAGCUUUAGACAAAGACAAAACAAAAGAUGAUCAUUUUUGGAGUUGGGGAUUGGGUGAGAGAAAAGGCCAGGACAAAAUGACCCUCUUCAUCCUUGUGUAAGCUGCCAACAGCAGCGGACCAGGAGUCUCAUAAUAGUAAGUAAAAGCACCCAAGCUUGUAAUGACACACUGCUCAGUGUAAAUGUGAAUUUGUAAAUGUUGCUCUGUAAAUUGUUCUGUUUAGGA